rnacentral:misc_RNA from 1 species
ACUCGUAAUAUAACUUCCAUAUCCAACCACAAAACAUUAUUUAAAAUUUUAUUUAAAAUUGCUGUCUCACCCCUAACUGUUAUAGCUUGAAAUUUGCCAAAUUGUAUAAUUAUAUAGUUUAAAAAAGGGAAUUACAUGUAUAAAAAAGAUAAUUAUACAAAUAUAUAUGAAACUGUAUUUUAUGAUGAAGUCAAUGAGCAUUUGCGCCAUCUUAUUCGAUCCAUCAUCUUCAAAGUUUAUCUAUAUUCAUAUUAGAAAACGGGUGAAAAUAAAUUUUAUUUAAAUGUUUAUGUUCAAAACAAUUAUUAUUGUGAAGAUGUGUAAAGUACAUGUACUUUUACAUAUGCGUCAAAUUAAUAACCGAGAUAUUCAUGUUGGUUGUUUAGACGUUACAAACGGAAGUUGGGGGAACCUCAGUAUGACACACUAGGAAGUACGGUCUCAUCAUCGCAUUACACUAUCCCCAGUUUGUCUGGAGGGGGACACGAAACACUUCCACGACACACACAAACCACGACCUACACAAACAGCGCAUAUGGAGGAAACCAGAUUGACGAAUUGGGAAGGCCCCCCAUACUGACUCCAAUUCUACCAAGUCAAAUCAGGAAAUCGCCGGCGUAAGACAAUAUUGUACUUCUGUAGUGCAGAAUAAAGUGAUUUUUUUUUAAGUGAAACAAAAGAUUAACUUGCAUAUGUUCUCUUAUUUCAGGAUAGCGACCUUGUCUGAUAAUUCUGCUGGAUAUUCGCACGCAUUUGAUCACCUGCCUGGAAUCCAAGGUCACCAUCAAAGACCCAAUUUAAGUGACUCGGGCUCGUCCUCCAAACCAAACUACGUUUCAUUUUCAAAUAUUUAACAAUAAAUUUCAGAAUA